AGUUCCAGGGGAUCAGAUGCCAUCUUCUGGUUUUUAUGGUUCCAGGACAUCUGAUACUCUUCUGGCUUCCAUGGGCACUGCAUAUGUGACACACAGCCAAAAAGAUAAGUAAAAUGCAGCGGUGGCAACGGCGGCGGUGGCAGCAGUGGCCGCGGCAGCGGCGUUGGUGGUUGGCAGCAGCAGUUCUUUUUAAAGAACCUGAGUUUUAUCCCAGGACCCAUGUGGUAGAAUGAGAGAAUGGAUUCCCACAGUUUGUCCUUUCACCUCCACAUGUACAGAGUGAUCCUGUGCUACCAGAAGCAACUUAAAGAGAGAAGAGUUUAUUGGGCUCACAGUUCCCAGGGAUAUAGUCUGUCAUUCCAGGGAAGCUGUGGGGUAGGGGAUUGACAUGGUCUGUCAAUUGCACCCAUGGCCAGGAAAAAGAGAAGAAGGCUUUCUUUCUCUUUCUUGCUAAGUGUGGGACCCCAGCCCAUGAGAUGGCAUGGGCCACACUCAGGGGGUUCUUUUCCUUUCCAGUAAGCAUCGCCUGAAACACCCUAACACACCCCUGAAGAAAUCUGUUUCCACGCUCAUUCUAAGCCUGCUAACAAUGAAGAUGAACCUGUGGCCAUUUUGCAGACCGUGGCCCUGCUUUGCUCUCACAGUGGCGAACCUGAGCUCUCCCAGCACACAGAAUCCGCACGUGGGUAAAAGGAAUCUCCAACUGGGAGUUCUGAGUUCUGCCCCAGCAGUGCCCGCCUGAAACAUUUCUGAUGUACUCACACUUAUUGUUCCUGUUUGUGAAAUUGUAUUAAUACCCAAUAGCUAGGUUAUUGGGAUUGGAUUAAAAAUAUUAAUCUGAA